GUUUAAUUAAUAUUGGUUGAUAAUUAAUUAAGAAUUAGUUUUGUGAUCAAAUGUAAUUAAUUAAACUAGAGGGGCUGAUUUGUAAUUAUGUGAUAGUUACAAAAUAAGGUAAGGAUUAUCUUAUAAGUGUGGUGAACGAAUUUAAGGUUGGAAAGCCUUAGAAUUUGAGUAUGAUAAGGAUUCAAGGAUUAUCUUAUUGGUUGCUUAAUGGAUAAUCAACUAGAUAAGGAUAAUGACUGAAACCCUAUCUCUACACCUAUAUAAACAAUCCCAAGGCCAUGAAUUCGUGUAUCCCUUCCCAAGAAGUCCUAAAUACGAAUUCUAACCUCCCUCCUCUCUCUAUAUACCUUCUCCACUUGCUUAUGGUGUUUGUAAGCCAUUAGAGGAGUGACACUUGUGACUCUUUGCUUUCCAAGGUCAAUUCAAGGAGGAAUUGGAUUGUUAUUGCUACAUAACAAUCAAGGUAUGUUCUUAAACCUAUUUACAUGUGAAUUCUGAUUUCCAUAUGCUAGAAUUAGGGUUCAAGUCUUGGAUUCAAAGUAUGUACAAUAGAGAAACCUAGAUCCGAGCUUUAGGGUUUGUAUGAGCACAUAGGAUGUCUUAUGACCAAAACCCAUCAGUGGUAUCAGAGCCAUGAUUGGUUUCUAUUGUAUUGAUGCUUGAUGUAACUGAAAAUCGUGUUUUGGCCUCACUGUUCGACCUGACUCGGCGAGUCACUCUUGGACUCGGCGAGUCAGCCCUACUCGGCGAGUUCCAGAGGGUGACUCGGCGAGUCGGUGCGUCAGACAGUGCUUAUCUCGGGAUUUCUUGCUGUUUUUGCAUUGGGAUAAUUACCUUAUCAUGUUAGAUUAAUAUUAAUCCGAUUAUAUGAUAUAUUUGACUAUAAUUUUAAUCUAAUUGAAGAUAUUUAUCAAUUAAUAGGAUAAUUGUUUCCUUAUAAGAUAAUUGAUUAAUUAUUUUAAGUAAAUUGAUAAAUUAUUUUGCAAGAAAUCAUCAAAUAUGGAUAAUUAUGUGAUUAAAUGUUAAUUUGAAUUAUUUGUUAUUUGAUCCUUGUUGUUGUGAAAAGUUUCAUAUUUGGCCCUUUAGGUUUUAUAGUUUAAAUUUGAACCCCAAAAGUUUUGUUGUUUUGAAAUUUAAAUAGUUGAAACCCUAAUGUUUUGAAAAAGGUUUCAAAACUUGCCCUCAAGUUUUGGAAUUUAAAUUUUGAUUAAAUAGUUUAAUUUUGAUGCAUAUUUAAAUUCUAAACCCUAAUGUGUUGAAAUGUUUCAAAACUUGCCCUCAAGUUUUGGAAUUUAAAAGUUGAUUAAAAGUUUAAUUAGGAAUGUUAAAUUCUAAAACUCUAGUAUAGUUUUGAAAAAGUUCAAAUCACACCCUUAUGGUUUUAUUAAUUAAUUAAGGUGUAUAAUUAAAAGAGGUUUAAUAAAUCCAUAAAAGUUUAGGUUUACAAUUUAAUUGAAUUAAAAGUAUAAUUGUUAAAUUAGACCACCUAGUAUUUUAAAAGUAUAAAAUACACCCUAUACUAUAUAUAACAUUAAAAGUCUAACAUUAUAUAUAUGUAUGAGUAAAAGUCAGUCUUACCGUUAGUAGGCCUCAUUCACGAAGCUGGUCUAUAAGGGGUGUUUAAGGAAAUUGCCUAUAAAAUGGCGAUUGAAUGGGUAUCCACUCUUACCCACCGCACUCUUGACUAGUGGAGGGUCGUUAGCCGAACGGGUAGGAUAGGACGAAACCUUCCAUUAUAAGUAUAAUGAAUUAUUAAAGUAACUAAAUGUUUUCAUAAAAUUCCCAAUCUUAGUUACUUAGGCAAAAGUGAAUUGAUGCAAUUCCAUGAAAUUACACUUUGUGCCCUUGCGAAGACGUUAGUGGAGCGUGUGUGGUUAACCGGCACACUAAAUGGUUCUAAGCAAAGGUAGCAAAGGGUGACUCAAUGUUUGUCAUAGUUCGGUGGAGCGUGUGUGGUUUACCGGCACAUCGAAUAGGUGACUGUAACAUGUGAGGGCACCAUGUAAGUUUGCAUGGUUAUUCACACCCGCUUUGUGAUCCUCGGCAUCCCAGUCACAAACAAGAGGGGCAUAUCGAGAUUUAAACAUGCCAUUGAAAGUUCAAUGAAUCUCAAAGGAUCUAGGAGUUUUCAUAGAUUUAAAACUUAAAUUUCUUUUUCGUUUUUCAUGGUGGAAAUUAGUGAAUCGUCAUUCACUUACCUUCAAAUAUUCUGCAAUUAGGGUUACGGCAUCCCUCUCCCGAGUUGUAGAAUAUUGUGUUGGGUCCUAGCCUUAGUAUCUCAUUUGGGUGAUUUACUAAGGACUCAAUCAAUCAACUAACUUGAAUUCGUUUUCUCCCGUUUUGUAGAUGUCAAAGUUCGACAACUAUGGUCUUCCCAAAUCCCGUGGAACAAGCAUUCCACAUGAAGAUGAUAUUCCACGAUUCGAUCGAGGAACAAGAAAUCAUGCUUCACUUCCUCCUCCUCCUCCAAUUAUUCUCCCUAACCCACAAGUUCAAAGGCUUGAAAAGUUCAAGAUCACUCAAGCCCUUUUGGCAAGUAAACAUAAAGAAGGAAAGUCGGUGUGUGCACACGUCCUAGGGAUGAAGUCACACAUUGAUAGGUUAAGAAUGUUGGGAUCCGUUGUCUGUGAGGAAAUGGCUGUUGAUUGGGUUCUUCAGUCACUUCCUAACUCAUAUAGUGAGUUCGUAAGAGAGUACUAUAUGAUGAACCGCGACGUGACCCUUAUAGAUCUCACCUAUAUGCUUAUUGCUGCUGAAUCAGCAAUGGUUUGGCGCAAUAGAAAAGCAAAGUUGAUUGGUGAAUCUGCCUUCAAGACCUCUAUGGAUAUAGACAAUGGCAACGAAAGACAUGCUAUGAUCGAAAAGUUUGAUCAUAAGAGAAAGGCAAUGUCUGAAGUAGUUCCAUGUCAUGUUCCAAAAGAGUCAAUUUGCUUUUAUUGCCAAGAGAAAGGGCAUUGGAGACGAAGCUGCCCCAUUUACCUAAGAGAUCUAAGAGAUGGGAGAGUCGAAACGUAUGGCUCUAAUAUAGGUAAAAUCCAUUAACUAACUCUUUUAAGCUUCUAUUCUAGAUUCUUAAUACAUAAUGUGAUAAGAUUACAAUUGAUGUUUUGUAGGAUCGAAGAAAAGAAAGGAAGCUUAAGGGAAGAAGUGAGCAGAAUCUAACCGUGAAGGAAUGGAUUUCGAUCGCAUUUCUCGAAGAUUAGAUUCUUGAGCUACUACUUAGAGUUAGAAUUAGAUUGCUAAGAAAGAUGUAUUAGCAUAGUUUUUCAAUGAAUUGCAUUGUAAGGACAAAUUUUUCCGCAAUAAAAUAAAUUUUGAUUUUAUAUUAUUUAUUUAUCCUUGCAAUGGCGUAUAUGAAAAAUUGAUGUUUGAAUGUUUCUAUUAUUAGCAAUAAUGGAUUUGGUUCUUAUUAUGUUAUUUAUGGAAAGUCGAGAAUUUACCAAAUAGGGAGAGUUUCUCAUCGCCCAAGUUUCAAUUGGACAGAAACUUGGAAUCAUGCAACUUGGUUGCACGAUGAAUGAGAAAUUUCAUAUUUGGAAAUUAGACUAAUUCAUUGACAAAGUGUCAAGUGAAGGACUAGGAGAUCGAGUACACAAAGUUGCGUGUUGAUCAAGUCCACCAUAAGAGUAACAAAGAUAUUCGUCAUGAUUUACUAAAGGUUUAGUAAAUAUGAUUAUACUUAUAAGAUUAAGUGUAAUUCUGAAUUGAUUGAAAAGGUUUAAAUCAAUAGCAGAACGAAUAAGAAGAAUCAAGUAGGCAGAAAGAUAAAAGUUUCUCCAUUCUAAGAAGAAGGGAGAGUACCUUUUAUGCUUUAUGAUAGGUCUUAAUGAUUAAGAACCAUAUCUCAAUUGAUCCUCUAAGUGAGUCUUAGUACAAUUGUAUGUCUAAGAAGAGGAAUCAAGAAUUGAAGAAAUGGUUAAAUCAAGAAGUCAAUCAUACUUCGUUCCAAAACAAGUCUUAGAGUUAAGAUUGUGACAUUGAGUGAUAAGUAUUAAGAAGGUUUAUAACAUUCAUCAAAUGUGGAAAGUUGUGAUGUCUUGGAUAAGACAAAGACCAACUAGGACCAAUUUAUGAAGUGUUUUGAUAAAAGCUACACUAACUCUUGAAUAUUUGUUUGUCAAGAAAUGUUUAUUGACAAGAGAAUCUUAUAUGUCAAGGAGUCAGUGGGAGUCUUAAUGGUCUUGAAAGGUUUCAAGAACAAAUCAAAUAAACCUUAUCGAUCAUCACUAGCACACGAGUUGAGGUUUACAACCUAUCGUGUUGACAUUAUUUUGUUUCUGUGCCAAUCCAAUCGAGUUAAUUAUGCAUGUGAGUUCUAUGAGUUCUCAUUUUGAACGCAUAAAAGGCAAAGCACCUUAAUCAAUGAAAGGUACAUUGAUAGGAAAGGGUGAGCUGCUUAACUACUUGGAAGACAUGGUGGGCAGCUGUGCUACCAUAAGGCAAGAAAUCAAGAUUAAGAAAGUUCGGUCCAUAUGAGUUUGAAUUUGUCGUAAACUUUGGUUUUAACAAAUUCACAUGGAUAGGAACACAUACACCGUUUAAAUCUAAGUGUCAUAAGAUUUCCUCCUUCAUGAAAAUGAUUGUGAGGAAAUGCUUUCACUAAGAAAGAUUUUAAGAAGAUAGUGAUUGUAAAAUUGCAUUCUCGAAUUCGAUUAUGGUUACGGUAUCCCUUUCCAUAAUUUGAAUUGUGAGGUUUGGCAAUUAGUCUUAAUUGUUUAGACACACAUAUGAACUAUCGAAGGCAAAGGUGUAUAAGUUCAAGAAGCCUUGAUAAAAGAUUAUCAAAGCACUAAGUAUUAGAAACAUGAACUUAAGAAAUUCAAUAAGUAUUGUUUUUCUGAAAGUUAAGAUGUUUAUGAAUACAUGUCGAAGCUAGUGGGAGCAUAAGUGUUAUGUUUUAUAAUAAUCAUCAUGAUAGUGGGAGCAUAAAUGUUAUGAUUGUAUGAUUAUUAAGGAAAGUAUUGCAAGUUGGCAAUAUUAAUUAUAGAAAACAAGAGUUAUACCUUGCAAAGUCGUAAGGGUUGUAAAGUUGUUUUGCUAUAAUUAAGGGAGAGAAUAUUAUGCUUCAUUUCAAAUCUAAAGGAUUAGGUUGAGAAAUGUUAAUAAAUUUAGUCAAAGGUACAUAGUGUGUUCUUAAAAUUUCGAUUAUGAUUACGGCAUUCCUCUUCACAAUUCGAAUUUUGAGAACAUAGCAAAUAAAACAUUAUGCGUCGUGUCCCAUACGCUUCGGGUAUAGGAUCGAUUGCAAAUGCUUUAAUGUUUGACCAUUCUAAAAUUUUCCAAAUGUCGAGCGCAUUUAGAGGGAAAAGGGACUAGAAUUGGUUUUGACUAAAAUAAUUAAACAACUAUCAAAGGACAAUCCAAAGUUCGACGAGGAUUGGUCGCUUGUGAGUAGUUGGAAGCAUGGUAUUGGAUGGACCAUAUCGACAUUAUUAUGAAUAGAAAAGAUUCUAUUAAGAAUGAGUUGUCAUAUGGAAAUUAUGGAAAUGUUUCCAUAUUGGAUGGACCAUAUCGACAUCAUUACGAAUAGAUAAGAUUCUAUUAAGAAUGAGUUGUCAUAUGGAAAAUAUGGAAGCGUGUCCAUAUUGGGAAUUGAAUAUUGAAAAUCUAUGUCUAGAUUAGAAACUUUUAUGCAAAAGGAUGUUCAAAGGAAUGUACUUUGAGUGAGAGACAUCAUAUCUAAGGAAUUGUCUUGUAACAAUCUCCGAUAGAGGACUUUGUAAUAUCAUUGGCAAUAGUCUUUGUGACUUUGGUGCAGUGACAUUACGAAAGGAUCAUUGCAUAGAAUGUUAGAAUCUAGCAUAUUCUAUAAGUAACAAGAAUUUGAUAUUCUUUAACUUAUGAAAAACGGAUUUGGAGUUGUGAAAUGAGAAGGAUUGGAAAUGUGUUCAAUGUGAUCUAUUUCACAAAGUAAGAACCAUAGGUAAACAUUGUGUGCAUGCUAGGAGCAUGGGACAAGUGUUGGAAUUCAAGUAAGAAGUUGAUUACCCGAAACGACAAAUAAUGAGUAAUCAAUAUGGUGAUAAAUAAAAGGUGUUUUAUUUAUACUCAAAGGUUUGAGGCCAUAUGGGAUUAGUAUUAUUCUUGUGUUUCACAUUUGCAUGUUUUGACUUCCAGAAUAAUUGAGUUUAUUAAGAAUAAUCGAAUUAUUCGAACGGGCCACAGUCGUUCAUAUGUUGGAAGUAGAUAUGAAUGAAGACUGUCGUGAAUUGGUGUGUGGAUUGUCUAAAAGAGUAUUAGACAUAAGCAAAUGUUUGCUGCAACGUUCAUGAGUGCUUAUGAAUAUGAUUUGAGCAUUGGAUUAAACCCACGCUCACUUGGAUCACUCCAUGAAUUGUAUCACGAGUGAUUGGUGAGACGAUAACAUCUUAUAUUCUUGAAACCGAGAUGUGUGAGUUGUAUCUUGCAAAUCGGUUGCACAUUGAUAAUAUGUAAACGCACUAGUAACUUGGUGUUAUAAAACAUAUUGUUGUGUGUGAUUCGGUGAGUGAGUGCAAGCAAGCAUUGUAUCAAAGUUUAUCCGUUCCUUUUAUCCAAAGUAGGAUAAAAGCGAUAUCUUUGGGCCCCUCGAUGGUUUAGUGAUGACAAACGUAAAUGCUCGGCCGGGCUAGGGCUAAUUUGAUUUGUUCAAUUAGUCAGUCGUCAUAAAUCGGAAAUCGAGAUAUAGUACAAAGAGAAUGAUUUGAAAUCAUAUCUCAUAUGAUAUCUAGAAUGGAGGAAUAUAUGAUCCCUUAUCUAAGGACACGCGUAUCUGAUAUGAUCAGAGUUGACAGCGGCUUUGGAAAGCUACGAUUGCAGAUCAGGAUCUGAAGUCAUACGCAGAAUAGUUAUUAGACUUAUCCAAGUGGGAGACUGUUGGAUUAGUGUCUAAGUCCAUAACUAUUUUGGUAUGUACUUGACCCGAUGGUGCAUGGUCCUUUUGGGUUGCCUUCACCAAAGCAACUUGAUUGGAGAAAUUAAUAAAGAGAGAGAGAAUAAUAUGAUUUAUUAAUAUGUUAUAAGAAUAAUAUAUUAAAGGAGAAAUCAUAUUUGUUUAAUUAAUAUUGGUUGAUAAUUAAUUAAGAAUUAGUUUUGUGAUCAAAUGUAAUUAAUUAAACUAGAGGGGCUGAUUUGUAAUUAUGUGAUAGUUACAAAAUAAGGUAAGGAUUAUCUUAUAAGUGUGGUGAACGAAUUUAAGGUUGGAAAGCCUUAGAAUUUGAGUAUGAUAAGGAUUCAAGGAUUAUCUUAUUGGUUGCUUAAUGGAUAAUCAACUAGAUAAGGAUAAUGACUGAAACCCUAUCUCUACACCUAUACAAACAAUCCCAAGGCCAUGAAUUCGUGUAUCCCUUCCCAAGAAGUCCUAAAUACGAAUUCUAACCUCCCUCCUCUCUCUAUAUACCUUCUCCACUUGCUUAUGGUGUUUGUAAGCCAUUAGAGGAGUGACACUUGUGACUCUUUGCUUUCCAAGGUCAAUUCAAGGAGGAAUUGGAUUGUUAUUGCUACAUAACAAUCAAGGUAUGUUCUUAAACCUAUUUACAUGUGAAUUCUGAUUUCCAUAUGCUAGAAUUAGGGUUCAAAGUCUUGGAUUCAAA
rnacentral:lncRNA from 1 species